GAUGAACGCUAGCUACAGGCUUAACACAUGCAAGUCGAGGGGAAACGCUGAGAGAGCUUGCUCUCUUAGGCGUCGACCGGCGCACGGGUGAGUAACGCGUAUCCAACCUACCCAUUACAGGGGGAUAACCUUGCGAAAGUAAGACUAAUACCCCAUGGCAUUUUAUGGUGGCAUCAUUAUAGGAUUAAAGAUUUAUUGGUAAUGGAUGGGGAUGCGUCUGAUUAGCUUGUUGGCGGGGUAACGGCCCACCAAGGCAACGAUCAGUAGGGGUUCUGAGAGGAAGGUCCACCACACUGGAACUGGGACCCAGUCCAAGCUCCUACAGAAGGAAGCAAUAAGGAAUAAUGGUAAAUGGGAGAGAGCAUGACCCCGCCACGUAGCGUGCAAGAAGACGGCCCUAUAGAUUGUGAACUGCUUUUAUAGGGAAAUAAAGUGAGCUACGUGUAAUUUAUUGCAAGUACCCUAUGAAUAAGGACCGGCUAAAUCCGUG
rnacentral:rRNA from 1 species